ACACAUAUUUGACCUAAACAUUUGCAGUAGAAUAAUGAGUCUUCUUCACACAGUAGUGAUGGAUGAGUCUUUAACAGCUUGAUCUGAUGUAUUUUCACUCGUGUUUAGGAGAAGACAGAUGAUGUGACUUAUACUGAAGUUACUGUGUGCAGAAAAAACAGAGCCAAGAAGAACAAGGUUCGCUGUGAUGAUAAAGUGACUUACGCUUCCAUCAGAAGCACCAGAGAAAUUGGAAAUAAGGGAGUGCUUUUGGGGUUUUACUCCUCAGAUGACCACCCUGGCUACUGUAGCUGGGAUUGCUUCACAGACGAUGGAGGUCUUGAAGAGUAAAGUGUGCGUGCGUGCGUGCGCACACAUUGUGUUUUUACUGUAACAAUUAUGGUCACUUGCAGUUCAUGUGUUUUCAGUGUAGUGUAAGAUGUGUUUAUUAUUAUUAUUAUUACUCAAAAACCAUUAAAACUUCUGAAUUGUGGAAGUUAUUCUUCA